rnacentral:rRNA from 1 species
UGAGGAAUAUUGGACAAUGGGGGCAACCCUGAUCCAGCCAUGCCGCGUGAGUGAUGAAGGCCUUCGGGUUGUAAAGCUCUUUUAGCGGGGACGAUGAUGACGGUACCCGCAGAAUAAGCCCCGGCUAACUUCGUGCCAGCAGCCGCGGUAAGACGAAGGGGGCUAGCGUUGCUCGGAAUUACUGGGCGUAAAGCGCGUGUAGGCGGCUGUUCGAGUUGGGCGUGAAAGCCUUGGGCUUAACCCAAGAAAUGCGCUCAAUACUGGAUAGCUAGAGGACCGGAGAGGAUAGUGGAAUUCCCAGUGUAGUGGUGAAAUACGUAGAUAUUGGGAAGAACACCAGUGGCGAAGGCGGCUAUCUGGACGGUUUCUGACGCUAAGACGCGAAAGCUUGGGGAGCAAACA